GUGGAAACGAAAGUAUACCCCACAGGGUGGGAGUAGGCGCCAGCGGCUCCAGAGCACUGGUUAUAGAACGUUCUGGGGUUUAAAUACCCUUUAGAGGUUUCCCAGUAGUUAGUUGGUUUACACCCUAUGUAAAUAAAGGAGUGGCCCACAACCAGUCUAAUGGGUUGUGGAAGGUGACGAGUCAGACUGAAGUGAAGUUACCAAGUAAUACCCUAUGCAGAUGUCUGAUUGGUUGUAGGAAGGGGACCAAUCAGAGGUACUUGCCAUUUCUCAUCUGCGAUGCAGAAAGGGGUGCGGGUUGCAAAGGGAGUAGCCUCUGUUUUUUUGUUACUUAAGCAUGGGAAGUUGGAGUUUUCCUUUUGAUUCAUUUCUAGGAAGUCGGUGCAAACUGGCCCUGCCUCCAGACCCUAUUCUCCAGCAUGAAUUGCAUCUCAUCAAUGUCAUUUUCACUUUUGAUGAUGAAGGCUGAUUACCUUGUAGAGAGAGAAGUCAUAGGGAUGUUAUGUCCAUGGAGCGUGGCCUUAAGUGGACCUAUUUCUUGGGGUCUCCAGAUCUGUUUGGAACUUCAAAAUUAUUCAAGAAAAGGUGUCUCAUCAGCAGAAGACUGAACAGUUUUACCUAAUGGUAUCUUGAGUAGAAAUGUAACCUAGAAGAGUUUAUUGAAAAUCCUCCUGGCUGAUGCUUAUUUCUUGGAAUCCUGAGUCUUACACUUGCUACCUAAUAAAAAGAAGGAAGAUUCUUCUCAGCAAGGUGAGAAAACAGGCUGAGAGAAGUUGGAAGAAACACAGGAGCAGGGAUCCCACAUUAGACAGUCUGAUUCCAGAGAUCAGGACCUUGGCUGCAACACUAUAUGGGCUCUGGGAAAUCCAAGUGUGACUUGCUGAGGCAAGUGUGAACCCAGCUUAAGACCGUUCCUACCACAUGACACCUCAAGAGCUUCUAUCUACCAUCUACACAGAGAGGCCUGUUUUCACCUGCACAGCAUUUCUACCUGCCCAUGAAAGGCAGACUUACGCACUUUGAUGUCAAAGACCAACCAGAAAGCCAAUAAGAAGUGAGAAAUCCUGUCUCCGUAGCCAAAAUCUCAUAUAAUUCCUCCCCAGCAAUACAGAAGUCUCUCUGUUGCUACCUAGAGUAAAAAUGUCAAUACACAUCAUGUAUUAAAAUUCACCUGUAUUUUCUCAACACCUUUUCGAUAUCUUUCCAAAUUGCUUUAGUAAUCUCUGGCAUCAAGAACUGGUAAGAGUAUGUGGCAUUUUCCUUCCUGUUUGAGUAACACCUAUUAAGAGAGGUGGCAAUUAAAAUCAAAUUGUAAUUUUUAAACCUUAAGGGAAGCUAUUGCAGUAUUGCUAAGAACAUUCAGUUACCGGUAUGUUAGCUAACACCUACACCCGCUGCGAUUAGCGAUGAAACAAACUUCUACGGACCUUAAAAAACCAAACGUCUCCUUUAAAAUAAUCAUCCUAUGAGUAAACAGUCCUGUUCACACAUGUAUAUGAGAUGUCAUCCUUUCUUUGCCGUUACAGCGCUCCGCCUUGCCAAUGCUGCUGAGCACUGACUCACUCACAGGGCAUUUGGAAGGUGGGCGAUUUGUUCCUGCAGCAUCAUUGCACUCCAAAUGUGCUGAGAAUGGAUGUAGCCUCCAAUGCUGCCGUGCCAGCAGCAGCUUAGAUCAGAGGGAUCAGCAGAGGCUAUUGUCCAUUCCUCAGCAAUGCACUUGACCUUGAGAGCUAUAUAGAAUGGAAGGAAACCCACUAAAGCCAAAUUCAUGUCCUAAGAUUUAUAUCCUUUUUAGGGAUCCCACCCCUGGAACGUAAUUCAGGUCCAAAUCCUCUUCUUCUCCUUUCCAACUGCCACUGCCUUAGAGUAGUGGACUUAUCUCCACCUGCACAUUUUAGAGUCACUUGGGGCAAGGCAGGGGGCAGACGUUAAAACAUACCAGUGUCAAGGUACCAUCCCAGAGACUCUAAAUUAAUUAGUCUGUGUUGUGCCUGAAAUGAGUACUUUUUAAUACCUCCCUAGGUAUUUCUAAAGUACAGCUAGGACUGGAAACCACUGGAGUCCAGCACAAGCCUUUCUCAUUUCUUUCCUGGUUUAUGGCAAAUGCCUCCUGAAUGCCCUUCAUCUUUUGUGCCUGAGGCUAAUCACCUUUAAUGUGUUAUAAUGAUUGAAUUAUUUUUGUAUUAAUCCAUGUUUGAUGUAGAAAAAUGAGAAAAUAAAAAGCAGAAUGAAAAAAACUACAAUCAGAAAAAUGAUACAAUAUUUUGUCUUUCCUACUGGAUUUUUUAUGUACAUAAAAUAACUAUUUUCAAAAAUGAUAUCCUGCUAUAAUUCUCUGUAACCUUCUAUUCUUUGUUAACAAUAUAUUAUGGGUAAAUUUCCAUGUCAGUAAGUAUAGAUUCAUAUUAUUUUUAAUGGCUACAUAGCGUCUGAGUGGGUGGCAGUGCCUUUGUAUUUUUUAACCAAUCCUUUGUUUCAGGGUUAGGCAUCUACAUUGUUUUGUGGGUUUUUGUUGUUGUUUGUGUUGUUGUGUUUUUUUGUAUUUUGUUUAGCUAUUACAAACAACAUUGAAAUGAGCCAUUUGGAAAAAAAUUUUUUUGUGAGUUGGCCAACUUCCUUAGGAUAUAUUCCUAAAAGUAAAUUUGUUAAAUCAGUAUAUCUAUUAAUUUUUAAGAAUUCUGACAUUUGUUACAAAUUGGUCUUCUAAACCACUCAUAUACAGGUAGUACUUAAGAGUCUGUUCUUCUAGUCCUUCACUAACGCUGGCAUUACUGUAUUCUUUUUAAAUCUUUGUUUAAUCUGGUAAGUAAAGAAUGAUAGCUACCUAUUUUAAUUUGUUUAGAUUACUAGUGAGUUUGAACAUUUUUCAUCUGUUGUUUUUUGGGGGAAACUUUUGAAUAUCUCCUUUUGCAAAUAUCUUAUUUUUGUUCUAUAAGGCAUUUUCUUUUUCUUGUUUGUAUGUAUGAGUCAUUUCUAUAUCAAGGCUAUUGAAUAUCCCCCAAUUUGUCCUUUUUACUUUUUUUAAAACUUUUAUCCUUUUAACUUUAGUGGUUUUGUGGUUUACUUUUAAAUCUUUAUAUAUUCAAAUCUAUCCCUCUUUUCUGUGUGGUUUUAACUUUUCGAUGCCAUAUGUUGAAAGCUUUUCCCCAAGUUAAAAGUAUAUACUUACCUAUGUUUUUUUCUAGUACUUUUAUGGUUUUAUUUUUUAUGUAAUUAAAUCUUUGUGGCUAACUCUUAAAGUACAAAUAUGAUCAUGCCACUCCCUAAGACCUUUGCCGUCUCCCCAUUGUGUAUGUGAUACAGUUCAAGUGUCCUCAUGCCCCACACAUUAUCUGGUCACCCUUUAGCUUGCAUGUCCCUCUCAUCUUUGCUCAUAGAGCUCUUUUUUUCUCUGCAAUACUUUUUUCUCUGCAAUACACUAUGAGUCUUUUUCUCCAUGUAUAAAUAGGCUAUUACUUCAAGUUCCAUGAAAAUAGAGAACAUGACUGCUUUGAUAAUCUCAGCACCCAACAUAGUAUCUGGAAGAAAAUAUAUACUCAAUAUUUGUUAAAAGAAUGAAUAAAACAUUACCUCCCCUGGUAACCUACCUCCAAUGUCUCUGGGCAGAAUCUGUCCUUUUUCUAUUGCAUUCCUAAAACACAUCAUUCUGAUCACUGUUAUCAUAUGAUGUCAUCAUAUUGUAUUAUAAAUCAUUGAAUCUUUGCCUGUAAAUCAGGCUCAGCUCACAUUUUUAUCCCUUGCUCCUUAGCAAGGUUGGGGCAUGCAGUGGGUACUCAAUACAUGCUGUUGAACUCAGAUGAAUGAAUUCUGACGAGGUCUCCCUGUCUUGCAGUACUGCCUUGGCAUGUCCUUGUGUUAAGAAGUAAAGACCUUGACAGUCUGUAAAAAGACAACUAAAUAAUUAGGUGACAAUACAUGUGCCCAGGUAAAAUCUACAGUCAUUAAUAUGGGGUUAAAAUAGUGCACAAUAAAAAUAGUGUCUCAGAGUAAUAGUGAAGCCAUGAUAGUAAUGCCUUCUGGCACCUGCUUCUGGGGCUAUCCAUUAUGUCAUUAAGAAUCAGAGCAUCAAUCUGGCCCAGAGCCCUAUCCCUGAAUAAAUUAAAAUUUUUAAAAAGACCCUCCAGAAUUAGUAGAGAAUAAUAGUAAGCUAACCAACUAACUUUUCUCCAAGAAUGUUGUAGCUAAGCAUUACUACGCUUCCUUUCAACAGGCAGUGAGAAUUGAGUUACUCAUACUGUUCCCCUUGGCUGCCUUUAACUUAGGGGUUUGAUACAGAUUUUUUUCCUAACCUUCAACUUUUUUUCUCCUUUUAAAAUAUUUUUACAGCUUUAUGAUAUGUCUGCCUUUCAUUACAAGCCACCUCAAAUCCCUUUAGACAGUGGAGUUUCUAUUAUAAAUAAUAAUAAAAAAAUUUCCUCUGCCUCAAUUCCCUCUGUCCCAAGUGCUCAAUGCAUGAACAACAUAAACUGAGGCUUUAAGAAAUAGGAUUUCAGCCCUUUGAGAAAGCUGUAUUACAAAUUGGUUCCACUUCAUAGCUUGGAAGAAAAUUGGAGUUUUCUUUGGAUGACAUCAAUGAUCAUAAUCUCUGACAUUUAACUGACCUUGGGCAUGUCAUUUUACCACUUCAAGUUUCAGUUUUCUUAUCUGCAAAGCAACAAUGCGGGUGGGUUCCUUCCCACCCCAGAACUGUAUCUAAUCAUCUUUUCCAGGAAGAUAGGGACAAAAAGACCACCCAGGCAGCACAGGGAAAGGAAUCUCCCCUUCUAUCUGGCCCCGUAACCCUACCUUCUGUCAGUUACUCUGCUGCAGAUAAAGGGUAGGGGAGUCAAUUCCCAGCCACAUACCACCCCAGGGCUGCUCUGCCAUUCAUAGCAGCUCCCCACCAUAAAGAAGCUGGAUGAUGAGCUGACCAAGCGUCCUGACUGGACUGCUGUUUAUGGCAUUGUGCUUUCAUUUGUGUGCCCAAGAGGCGACUAGCAAUAGGUUAACUUGGUGCUCCUACAAAGGAAAGUCUUUUGCUUUUCUUUCUCAACUAUAUCUUAGGUUUUAAUUAAUUAAAUUAAUAUGGGGCUUAAUAGCAGACAUGUUUUGGACCUUGGAGCCUGUUUACCCUCAUCUUACCCAAGGGGCACUGUGGACCCAGGCUAAGACGCUGCCAAAGAGUUUUCUGUGUCUAGGAGACAAAGCACACCCUGUAGCCUUCAGGAGUGCUGGGUUAUCCCAAGCCCACCAAAGAGCCUGCAAAGAGUGUGCUAGCAGGACUGGGAACAUUCGUCUCCUAGCUUUCUCUAAGAAGCAGGCACACUCUCCUCUUCACACUGUGGCCUAGGUCUGAUCAAAGGCGGUAGAGAAGGUAGCUUUCCCUUCCACAUCUGACCAACAAAAGCAGCCCCGGUGGGGGGAGACUGGAAGUGAGUAUCGCAGUGGUUCCUCAGCUUACCUUAUACCUUCCAGAUAAGUCAGUGAUACAUGCCACAGGGCUGACUGUAUUUUGAGGCCCUCCCAUAGCUCCAGAAGCCAGCCCAUUCUAUCAGGCUGUACUCGGGACAAAGGAGGCAGCCCCAGCCCAGGUACUUAAGUAGACACAGCAUUUGGCCUCAAGGUUAAGAGUACAGUCAGUGGUCCUAAACUGCCUUUUUUGUAGCUUGGUUAUGGUAACUUGAGUGCAAUUGUUUAACCUCUCCCUAUCUCAGUUUCUUCAUCAGAGAAAGGGGGCUGCUGUGAUAGUUGGUACGUACGGAGUAUAUGGAACAGUGCCUGGUAGGGAAUAAGUCCCGUAAAAGUUAAUCAUUUUAUAUACAUCAAAUAAGUCUGUUCUACCUCUUUUGUCCCCCCAGACGAAGCUCAUAGAAUGAUUCACAUUGAUAUUCAUGUUUAAGCCUUAAGCCUUUUUUGUUCUUCUAAGACUUCCUUUGGUGGUGUACAUUUUGAUUGUAUCUGCUGGAAUAACAAUGCUGAUGGUUGGUGGGGUUGGGAGGAAGGAUAGAGAGGGAGGGAGAAAUAACAUUAACUGCCUAAGAGAUUUCUCUGAAAGAGCACAUGAAUAUUGAAUGAUGACUUGAUUUUACCAACAAAACCCAUAAUUAUUGCUUUGCAUCAAGGGUGAGGUUGACUUAAAUCAUCAAGACUUGAGAAUGAACUCAUAAUCAGAAAACGUGGACUAUUAAGUUUUGUUUGCUUGCUUGUUUUUGCAUAUAUCUAACCCAAAUCUUGUGUUAUUUCAAAUGGUGCUAUAUUUGCCUAUGCUUGUAAAUUGAAUAACAUCAAUAUGCAAAACUGAUGCAUUUUUCUUUUUAGGGAGAACAUAAUCUCCCAAAGCCACUCCAUUGGUGAUGUGACUUGAUUUUUUUCUGAAUCAAGAAAUUUGGAUAAACUUGGUGAUUCAGAAGGAUUGAUUACUACAGAUAACCCACUUAUGCUUAACUAGGUCUUGAACCAUGAAUGCAUGAACUUUAAUUUGCAAGCCUCUUUCUCCACAGCUAGCCAUGGUUAGAGAGAGAUGUUAUGGAGGAAGGACGAGUAAAACUCCAAGUUAUUAAGGAGGAAAAAGAGGCUGCUUAGUUGAUUAAUCAUUGUAGAAGCCUCCAUCACAUUCAGCCUGGGAGAUUUCAUUCAUUCACACAAACGCCUGCCACUUUCUACACCCAGGAGUUGUAUCAUCCACCAGGCACACUAGAAAUGUGGUUAGUGCUACCAAGGACCUAAUGUUUUAAUCUGGUUUAAUUUUAAUUAAUUUAAAUUCAAAUAGCACAUGUGGCUAGUGGCUACUGUAUUGCACAGUACAGGCAUAAGAACAUUUCUACUCAAAUCUUCAUGAUGAUACGAUGGGCUUUAACAAACCCUUGAUAAUAAAAGGCAAAAGCUGCAAAUGUUAUAGGUCAAUAUUCUCUCCACAAAUCUUUAUUUUUAAGUUUUAAAAAUAUAACCCAAAUGUUUGUGUUCCCUCAACCUCUUCUUCAAGGUCCUAAGAAACAUUGAGGAAAGAGAUAAUCGUAGGAUAGAAUUUUUCUUUUCUUUUCAAGUACCUACAAUUCUCAGAUGUUAGACUGACUUCUUCCAUAACUGACUUUUAAAUCAAAGUAUCCAAAAAUGAAUAUGCAAAUACAUUGUCAAUGAUUUCAAUUCAGGAAGAAGCUGCUCCAAGAUCUCAUUAUUCUGAAUGACAUGGAAGAAUCACGUACACAUUGCCCAUUUCCUAUCUCAUUAUUUUCUGGUGUAGAACUGCAAAUCCCAUUAGCAGAUUUUCCUUCAGCCCCCUGAACAAUCUGUGAGUGACUCACACUUUAGAACAUCUUUGCUGCUGGAUUACUUUGAAAGGCAGAAGUUGGGACGGUGUCAGGGAUAGGCUGAAGAUGAGAGGAAUACCUAACACGUGCCUUGUUUGCAAAUUUUCAUUUCAGUCAUUUAAAAAGUAAUUAAGGAAAGAGGAUCUUGAUAAGAUAGAAUUCAACUCCCCUCUUUUAAUGGAUUCAGGGAAUGAGGAAACAUAAAGAUAAUCCAUCAUCGCAUUACUGCCAUCACCAGAGUUGUCUGUUUCAAAGAGCCUCUUUCCUUCACCAGGAGGACACAGAGCUUCGUGUGCUCAUUUGGGUGUCAAGAAAUAAUAAAAUGAUAAAUCUGCAGACUUGGAAACAGCAGCUCUCAGAUCAGAGCUGAAAAUGUCUGCUCUGUGUUCUGUGGGUCUUUGCUUCUUGUGAGUCCAGACACCUGUCACAAAACUAUGUGGCUGUGGGUGGCCCUAUUUGUAGGAUUUCUAAGCCAUCUGACCCUAGAUAAACCUUGGUGCUUUUUAAGAGCCAGCUUAGGUGCUGGACCAAAUGGUGAAAAAUUGCUUCCUGACUAAUUGAUGAGCCAGGGUGCUUUGAUGUUACAAGUGUGGUUGGAGCCUAAUGCAGCCAUAUCAUGAGGAACACUGUGUCAUCAGCGGGAUGUGGAAAACCACUCCUCAACUGCUUACCAAGAGGCAAACCGUCAAUAAUGAGAUGGUUUGGAAGCUGAGGUUAUGAGUCAUUCAUGUAGAUGCAGGUAGAGGCUGGUCCUAGGCCCCCAGCGACACUGAUAUAAAAGAAUUUAUAAGCAUGUAUUUUAGGACAAUUUUACAAAAUAACAGAAAAUAUCCAUUGAGUCCUUAGUGUGUUUUUCACACAUUAUCUUUAACCUCACCACACCAUUUUUGAUAGGUUCAAGUAUUUUUUUUCUCUUCCCCACAUGAAAGAAGCAUGACUUGGAGAGGUUAAAAUUCCCACCCAAGAUCAUGCAUUUAAAAAGUGAGAAAACCAAUAUUCAAAUUUAGGUCUUUCUGACCCCAGAGCCUGUGAUUUUUCUGUUUCACUAAGGCCAGUUGCAGAGAUAUGCUUGUCUCAGCUGUUUUCCAGUAUGAUGUAUCUGAAGGACAAGAGGAAGAAUUUCAAAAAAGUCUCCAAUUUUCUUGCCUUAGAGCAUCUACCGAAAGAAAAAAAAAAAUGAGAGAGAACCCAAAGUCAAAGAUAAGAGCCCUGGAAGAAUCUGCUCUGAAGAAUGGCCUUGGGGCCAACUCAGUAUUUACUCAAUUCAUAAAGGAACUGAGCUGGAGUCCUCAUUAGUUGGGUGUGUCCUUGGUAAACCAAUUAUUAAACCCUGGUAUGAGGGAUGAAAUGGCUUUGUGUUUAGUUUUUGGCUUUAUCAAUUUCUGAUGACUAUCCACAAAAAUUAUAAAUACAUAAACAUUUUUCUACAGCGAUUCUUCUUUCAGAAAAGUAACCUACAGAUAUACUUGUAUAUGUACUAAAGGAUGAAUGUACAAGGUUGUUCCUUGGAGCGUUUUGUAGUAAAAAAUAGGAAACAACCCAAGUUUUUAUCAAUAGAGAACUGAUUCAAUAAAUUAUAGAACAUCCAUACAAGAGAAUACUAUAAACUAUAAAGAAGAAUGAGAAAGCUUCCUAUAAAAUGAUACAGAAAGAGCUCUAGGAUAUAUAGUUAAUUGAAAAAAGGAAGGUAUUAAACAUUGUUUAUAACAUGGUAACUUUUGUGUAAAAGAAGUAAGAAGAAAAGAAGCUCAUGCUUCCUGAUAGAACAUAAAGAGACUAUGGAAGAAACUAAGAAUAGUGGUUACCAUGGCGCUGGAAAGAAAGAGCAUGGCAGAUGAGGGACAAGGAUGGUAUGGAGUGUUUUACCCGUUUUGGAUUUUCAAACAUGCAAAUAGUAUUCAAGGAAUAAAUCAAAAGAUGAAAAUGACAAGUCCUAUGCUAAAAGAUACAUUCUCUGAGAACAUAUUCACAAUAGGGCUGUGCUUUUUUUCUCUGAUGAAGAACACCAGACUCUUAAGCCAAUGGCCAGGGUCGAAAUGCUUACUUUGCCACUUCCUAACGGUGUUAAAUUUUCUGAGUCUCAGUUUUCUCAUUUUAAAUAAAAAAGAAGAAAUAACAUC
rnacentral:lncRNA from 1 species